rnacentral:lncRNA from 1 species
GAAAUAGUACUAAAUCUAUAUUUUUACUGCUUGUUUUUUUUUCAGAACGCCACUCCACAGGCUUCAGAUCACUACCUGGGACACUGCUAUGGUUGGAGCUGGAUAAAUCUUCUGUCCCAUCCUCUUUGUUUAAUCUGGGAUUCUGAAAUAUAUUCAUGCAUCAGAAAAGCCAAGGCAGAUCAACGUUCAGCAAGUGAUUUCCAGGUGUGCCAGCUACUGUCAGCCAAAGCACAGUGCUCUGGGAUUCAAACAGCACUGAAGAGUCGACCUGCAGGGUGCCACAGCAUCUGCAGCUGCCUCAGGUGAGCAUCACUGACUCAGCUCUUCUCACCAGCAAAGGGGCAGUCACUGGGCACAGAGAAGCUGCUUUUUGGCACCUGAAACUUUUGUUCUGUUCUUGGGGUACCACAACUCUGGGUCAUGCUGUCCAGUGCAAAGCCCCUGAAGGUGAUUGUCUUCUGGGAAAAGAAGGGUGACAGGGUUGCAAAGACAUUCAAAGCUUCUUCACACUUCUGUCACAGCAGCUUUUGGGGUCUGAAUAGCUUUUUGCUGCUUUAGAACCCAGUUUCUGUCCUCAAA